GAAGCAUGACCGUAAGGACAUGUGGACAGUAUGGGAGUGAGAAUGUUGGCAUGAGUAGCGAGAUGUGGGUGAGAAUCCCACAGGCCGUAAACCCAAGGUUUCCAGGGGAAGGUUCGUCCGCCCUGGGUUAGUCGGGACCUAAGCUGAGGCCGAAAGGCGUAGGUGAUGGACAACAGGUUGAUAUUCCUGUACUACCGAUAACCGUUUGAGAGAAGGGAUGACACAGUAGGAUAAGCUAAGCACACUGUUGGUUAU
rnacentral:rRNA from 1 species